GCGCCGGCUCCAGCCCUCCGAGCGGCGCCCUCCUUUCUUCCCUCCCUCCCUCCCAGCCGGGCUCCUCCUCCUCCUCCUCCCGCUCCUGUUCGUUUGCGCUCCGGCGCCGGCUCCGGCUCCUCCCGGCCGCCCGGGGCCAAGGCGACGUGAGGUUGUAAAAAUCCAUGUGGGACGGCCCCGGGGCGAGCAUCAGAAAGAUCUCUAAUUGGAAUCAUUUUCUGGUACAGACUAUGAGUAAAAUACAGUGAAAAUUCUGGCCAACGGUGAAAAUAUUGGCUUAAUUCUCAACUGAGUAUAGCAUUCCUGCUCUUUAGUCGUACCUCGUAAUAGAAGAAAAAUGUAUGGAAGUGCAAGAACAAUCACCAGUCUGGAAGGGAGCCCUUCCAGGUCUCCUCGUUUGCCAAGGUCUCCUCGUUUGGGCCACCGAAGAACAAGUAGUGGGGGUGGUGGAGGAACGGGCAAGACUCUGUCCAUGGAGAAUAUCCAGUCCCUUAAUGCAGCCUAUGCUACGUCUGGACCCAUGUAUCUGAGUGAUCAUGAGGGGGUGGCUUCGACAACUUACCCAAAGGGCACCAUGACUCUGGGAAGGGCCACAAAUAGAGCUGUAUAUGGAGGUCGUGUCACAGCCAUGGGGAGUAGCCCCAAUAUUGCUUCCGCUGGACUUUCCCACACAGAUGUCCUUUCAUACACAGAUCAACAUGGUCUGACCAGUGCAUCCCAUCAUCACCACCACCAGGUCCCCUCCAUGUUGAGGCAGGUAAGGGAUAGCACAAUGUUAGACCUUCAAGCCCAGCUCAAAGAACUUCAGAGAGAGAAUGACCUCCUUCGGAAAGAACUAGACAUCAAGGACAGCAAAUUGGGAUCUUCCAUGAACAGUAUCAAGACCUUCUGGAGUCCCGAGCUCAAGAAGGAGAGAGUGUUGAGGAAAGAAGAAGCAGCCCGGAUGUCUGUCCUCAAGGAGCAGAUGAGGGUUUCCCAUGAAGAAAAUCAGCACCUGCAGCUGACAAUCCAGGCCCUUCAGGAUGAGCUGCGGACCCAGAGGGACCUCAACCACCUCCUGCAGCAAGAGAGUGGUAACCGUGGAGCUGAGCACUUCACCAUUGAGCUGACCGAGGAGAACUUCCGGCGCCUGCAAGCCGAGCAUGACCGGCAGGCCAAGGAGCUGUUCCUCUUGAGGAAGACCUUGGAGGAAAUGGAGCUGAGGAUCGAAACACAGAAACAGACCCUCAAUGCCCGAGACGAGUCGAUUAAAAAGCUUCUCGAGAUGUUACAAAGUAAAGGUUUGCCGUCCAAAAGUCUCGAGGAUGACAACGAGCGGACACGGCGGGUGGCAGAGGCUGAGUCUCAAGUCAGCCACUUAGAGGUGAUUUUAGAUCAGAAGGAGAAGGAAAACAUACAUCUUAGAGAGGAAUUGCACCGAAGAAGCCAACUUCAGCCGGAGCCAGCCAAGACGAAGGCUCUCCAGACUGUCAUUGAAAUGAAGGACACAAAAAUUGCUUCAUUGGAGCGAAACAUAAGGGAUCUCGAGGAUGAGAUCCAGAUGUUAAAAGCCAAUGGUGUGCUGAACACUGAGGAUCGUGAAGAAGAGAUCAAACAAAUAGAGGUUUACAAAAGUCACUCCAAGUUCAUGAAAACCAAGAUUGAUCAGCUGAAGCAAGAACUUUCAAAGAAGGAGUCAGAACUUCUUGCCUUACAAACAAAGCUUGAAACCCUUAGCAAUCAAAAUUCAGAUUGCAAGCAACAUAUUGAAGUGCUUAAAGAGUCGCUUACUGCCAAAGAACAGAGGGCUGCCAUUCUUCAGACUGAGGUCGAUGCACUGAGACUACGGCUGGAAGAGAAAGAAUCUUUUCUCAAUAAAAAAACAAAGCAGCUGCAGGACCUCACGGAAGAGAAGGGGACACUGGCUGGGGAGAUUCGCGACAUGAAGGAUAUGUUAGAAGUGAAAGAAAGAAAAAUCAACGUUCUUCAGAAAAAGAUUGAAAACUUGCAAGAACAGCUUAGGGAUAAAGACAAGCAACUGACCAACCUGAAAGACAGAGUGAAGUCCUUGCAGACAGAUUCCAGCAACACAGAUACUGCCCUGGCGACGCUCGAGGAGGCUUUGUCAGAGAAGGAAAGAAUAAUUGAGCGUUUGAAAGAACAGCGGGAGAGAGAUGAUCGGGAAAGACUAGAAGAAAUAGAAUCCUUCCGAAAAGAGAACAAAGACCUGAAAGAGAAGGUCAAUGCUUUACAAGCUGAGCUGACUGAAAAAGAGUCUAGUUUAAUUGACCUCAAGGAGCAUGCAUCUUCAUUAGCCUCAGCAGGGCUGAAAAGGGACUCUAAAUUAAAGUCUCUAGAAAUAGCCAUCGAACAAAAGAAAGAAGAAUGUAGCAAAUUGGAAGCACAGUUAAAAAAGGCUCAUAAUAUUGAAGAUGACUCCAGGAUGAACCCCGAGUUUGCAGACCGAAUAAAACAGCUUGAUAAAGAGGCAUCUUACUAUCGCGACGAGUGUGGCAAGGCCCAAGCAGAAGUCGACCGUCUGCUGGAGAUCCUCAAGGAGGUGGAGAACGAAAAGAAUGACAAGGACAAGAAGAUUGCGGAACUUGAGAGCUUGACUUUCAGGCAUAUGAAGGAUCAGAAUAAGAAGGUGGCCAACCUCAAGCACAAUCAGCAGCUGGAAAAGAAGAAGAAUGCCCAGCUGCUGGAAGAAGUCCGCAGGCGAGAAGACAGCAUGGCCGACAACUCACAGCACCUGCAGAUAGAGGAGCUGAUGAACGCGCUGGAGAAGACCAGGCAGGAACUGGACGCCACCAAGGCGCGCCUCGCCUCCACGCAGCAGUCGCUGGCGGAGAAGGAGGCGCACUUGGCCAACCUCCGGAUAGAGAGGAGGAAGCAGCUCGAGGAGAUCCUGGAGAUGAAACAGGAAGCGCUCCUCGCGGCCAUCAGUGAGAAAGACGCAAACAUUGCCUUGCUGGAACUGUCUGCCUCCAAGAAGAAAAAGACGCAGGAAGAAGUCAUGGCCCUCAAGCGGGAAAAAGACCGACUGGUGCACCAGUUAAAGCAGCAGACCCAGAACAGGAUGAAGCUGAUGGCGGACAACUACGAUGAGGACCACCACCACUACCACCACCACCACCACCACCACCGCCACCGGUCUCCCGGGAGGUCGCAGCAUUCCAAUCACAGGCCCUCUCCCGACCAGGAUGACGAGGAGGGCAUAUGGGCAUAGCCGGGCCUGUAAACCAAAGCUCCAGAUUUGUUUUGAGGGAUGAUCCAGCUCUGUUGGAGGCACGGAGGCACAGUCAAAUCUCAUGCUGUACAUUGAUCACCUGUCCAACCUUUGCCUAGAGUGGGAGCCCCCAGUUCCUUCAAGAGAUCCAACUUUACCUGUCUGUACAGAAGAAGAGGAGGAGGGAGACGGCGGGAGGAUCCAGUGGCAGUGUAACGCCAGAGCAGCUAUCAGAAGGGCUGACCAAAGGGGACACGCAGCUCUGCAGCAAUAUUCUGAUAAUCUAUUGCAGUGCAGCUCACAUCACCGUCCACCCCCACCUGGAAUGCUCAUCAGGACUGGAGAGGAGUCUCACUCCCAUGACUGAGCACGAUUCUGUUCUACCUGAUAUUUCCUUCACCAUCCCAUGUCGUUUCAUGUGCUGGAAAGGAAGAAGGAGGCAGAGGAGCAAAAUGACAGAUUCUCCUUUUUGUUUGUGGGUUUUUUUUGUCAGGAUUUGGACAUUUAAAAUUUGAUCAUCUCUUCUGAAUAUCGUUAUUUGGUAGCAUUUUGUUUCUGUGACUUCAACAUCAUUGGAUACAUUUGAAGUCCAUUGGAUUUUAAGUGUGGGUUCAGCUUCUGUUAGACAAUUAACUUCAUCUCCAGUUUCUCUGCUGGUUCAGUCUAAGUGGUCAUUCCUAAUGCAUUAGAUUAUCAAAAAGUAUGAAUUCUGGGAGUGAGUGGUGUUGGCAGUGUUUGUACAUCAAGAUGCAUGGAGUGUUUGACAAAGAAACCAAACCACCAGAAAUGGCAAGCCUUUACCCUCCUCUGUUUCUUUAAUCUGCUGUUUGAAGAACCACAUUUUGAUGGUGUAACCAGUAGUUACCUCUGGGCCAGGUUGGAAAUGAAAUCAAUUUUUUUAAACCACUACUACUUGCCAAGAAAUCGCCUUAUGAGAACGUGGUGUGUGUCUCUGACAAUGCAUGGCACAUCUAAAUUGAUCAUUCAUAACGCUGUCUACCCUGCUUCCAUACUGGAGAGUGGCAAAAGCCUGAGGCACCUGCAGAUCUCUGCGCCACGUGUGCCACGCAUCCCUGUGGCUGGGUGGGGCCGAGCCUCAGACUCUUGCUGUUCCCGUAUGCACAGGUCUCCAUGAAGAAGCUGGGACUCGUUCACAUUUCAAGAUCCAAGUGCUGUGCAAACAGUGUAAGCUUAGAUCUUCUGUAAACGAAGGGUCAUUUCUCAAUUUUUAAAAAAAUGUCUCCAACAUGGAUUCCUGAGCAUUUUCAGCAUCAAACAUGAAAACAUUGAUGAAUGAGAAGCAAUCACAAAAGCUGUUUAUCUGUAUAUAGCUCUACACAACAUGUUUGUGGGGACAGAGUCAUCAUUUAAAGCACAUGCCAGGGAGAGAGACCAAAUUUUGAGGUCUUUUACAUACAGUGACAUGGUACUAAGGAGAAUUAAACUCCUACUGCUUCCUCUGAAGAUUAAAAAAAAAAUUAAAGUGUUAUAACUUCAUAAAAUUCAUGACCAAGUCUGGCAAACAUGUGCAACUCUUGUAUUGAUCCUCAUUUUUUUUUUUUUUUUUUGUCAGUGGAAGAAAUCCUUCCACGUGUAUGCAAGUGGGAGAUGAAAAUCUGCAUUUUUUAAAGGAUAAACAGUGAAUUUAAGCAUGAGUGGCCUUAAUAAAUAUAGCUGUCUUUCUUUGCUGCUGUGGAAAGGAUUCUAAACAGAUGUUUCUGAAUCUUGCAUUGAAUUUAGUCGUUAUUAUUACUUUUUAAAAUGUUGGUGCAAUUAACUGGACCUCUCCCGUGAGCCAUAGAGAUAUUUAUAAGACUGACACCUUAUUUGUCGGGAAAGAUGAAACUGUCUGAGUUGCACUGUUCAUUCUCGGUGCAUUUGGAGUAAUAGAUUCAAGCAGGUUUCUUGCUUCUGGCUUUAUUCUUGCCGUAAGUAUAGCGAGCUCUGUAAAGCUUAUGUGUUGCAUAAACCCUCCAAAUACAUUCAUGUUUAAAAAGUUUGUCCUUUAACUAUCAAAGGGAUCUGAAUGAGCAGAGUUCUUUGCAAGCUUAUCUAGCACAUUUUAACACAAUGUUGCACUGAAAGCCCAGGCCACCGGCUUGCCCCCAUGAACAGUCUGCAUUGCUCCAGAGGAGGUCCUCACUGCCUCUUCCAGCCAAGCCCUGACCUGAACUCUGCAGCGGAAUACUUGAAGUAGCAGCAGGAAAUCCACUAGGGAAAAUAGGGUCCUGGAAACAAAAAAGGCAACCAAACAUGGAGUUAGCUUUUUCUAAGUAUGUGCCAAUUUUGUCACAGCUAUUGUUUGGGGGACCAUUUUUUGUCCCUCUUUUGUUGAUGACAAAUAUUUUGAUCUUACAUUUCUGGGGGCAUAUCAUUCAGUCCCUGAAAAAUUUAAAUUCUGUUUCACAUAGCAUAUUUUCCCAUUUCAUGUAAAAUUCCUGAUGUUUGGGGGUUACAAAAAAAUUCCCUUUUCACACAUUACAAAUAGUCUCUGGGUUUACAACAAACACUGUGAUGUUGGGAAGAUAUUUCCUUUGCGCAAACCUGAGUGGGUCCCCCUCUAAUCAGAAUGAAGUUGGGAGACGAAGAAGUUGAGGCUAACAUUUGGGAGAAGUUGUUCUUCUUGCUUCAUGCAAAAGCAGGCCUGUCCUGCAAACCCGAUUUGAUUUCCAUGUACAGUCUCUAUUUUGUAUUUAAUGAUUUUUGUGUAUCCAGUAUGCACGUUAACAGCGUGUCAACUUUCAUUUAAAAGUGGGUUUCAAUUUACUUUUUAAACAGUGUUUAUGACGAGACCUCCAAUGUGUUGACAUCAGUUCUAUCUGAGAUGUUUUUGUGUCGAGUGGCGUUUGAAUGCUGCCAGGGGUCAGUGUAUCUUAACUCCCGGAGACCCCCGUGUGAUAGCGCUUCUUGUAACAUUUCUUCAGUGAGUGGCAUGUGGGUUGUGAUAUUGACCGUGUGAUUAUGGACUUCGAUAUGAAAAAUAAAUAAAUAAAACUAAGGAACUCUCAGAAACUACCAGUGGGCAUGUAUUAGCCAGUCAUUGUAACCUCGUGUCUAGUAGAAGUACAAGGUAUGUACAGUUCAUAAAUUUCUUACCAUGUGUAUGAGAAGUACUUUGUGCUGAUCGCCUUAUUUAUAUUCAUCAAAUAAACUUUGUUUCUUUCUGAA